rnacentral:rRNA from 1 species
CAGUAGCCGCGGUAAUACGUAGAUGGCAAGCGUUGUCCGGAAUUAUUGGGCGUAAAGGGCUCGCAGGCGGUUUCUUAAGUCUGAUGUGAAAGCCCCCGGCUCAACCGGGGAGGGUCAUUGGAAACUGGGAAACUUGAGUGCAGAAGAGGAGAGUGGAAUUCCACGUGUAGCGGUGAAGUGCGUAGAGAUGUGGAGGAACACCAGUGGCGAAGGCGACUCUCUGGUCUGUAACUGACGCUGAGGAGCGAAAGCGUGGGGAGCGAACAGGAUUAGAUACCCCCGUAGUCCCUGUCUCUUAUAC